UACUCCUACGGGAGGCAGCAGUGGGGAAUAUUGCACAAUGGGCGGAAGCCUGAUGCAGCGACGCCGCGUGAGGGAUGACGGCCUUCGGGUUGUAAACCUCUUUCGACAGGGACGAAGCGCAAGUGACGGUACCUGUAGAAGAAGCACCGGCCAACUACGUGCCAGCAGCCGCGGUAAUACGUAGGGUGCGAGCGUUGUCCGGAAUUACUGGGCGUAAAGAGCUUGUAGGCGGUUCGUCGCGUCGAUCGUGAAAACUUGCAGCUCAACUGCGAGCUUGCGGUCGAUACGGGCGGACUAGAGUACUGCAGGGGAGACUGGAAUUCCUGGUGUAGCGGUGAAAUGCGCAGAUAUCAGGAGGAACACCGGUGGCGAAGGCGGGUCUCUGGGCAGUAACUGACGCUGAGAGCGAAGACUUUCCCGUAAUAA
rnacentral:rRNA from 1 species